ACUGGGCGUAAAGCGCGCGUAGGUGGUUCGUUAAGUUGGAUGUGAAAGCCCCGGGCUCAACCUGGGAACUGCAUCCAAAACUGGCGAGCUAGAGUAUGGCAGAGGGUGGUGGAAUUUCCUGUGUAGCGGUGAAAUGCGUAGAUAUAGGAAGGAACACCAGUGGCGAAGGCGACCACCUGGGCUAAUACUGACACUGAGGUGCGAAAGCGUGGGGAGCAAACAGGAUUAGAUACCCUAGUA
rnacentral:rRNA from 1 species